UCUUAUGGGUGAGCAAAUGAAGUGGUUUCUUGAAAUGGAAUUUACUCCUGGUGAAGAUGCUGUGAA
rnacentral:pre_miRNA from 1 species